rnacentral:SRP_RNA from 14 species
GUCCGAAAGGAAGCAGCCCUGGCUAUUUUGAAUGGUGUCGUGGGU